CUGCCGUUGCGGAACAUGAGUAUGAAAAUGACCGCUCUGAAAGACUAUGACAGAGCAAAGGCAGGAGGCUGGAGGUCGCUUGGAAAAGAAGAAAAACAAACAAACAAUUUCAUCUUAACAUCCUAAAUACAGCUUUACAGGGUCUCGGCGAACAGCAACCAAGGCAGACUUCAUCUUGGACUGCUUUUACACUCACAAUCCCACUACUGAGUUGGAACUGAAGCCAAGAUGGCUGCACGCAAGUCUGACCUCAGAAGGGAAAAUUCAACGAGCUCCAGCGCAAAAUAAGGUGAAAGCUCAAGAUGACAGCUGAGGAGAGACAAUCGACAAGCUAACAAACGUGCUUGCGACACAGAACCAUGCACUCUUUGGAUUUGGAUUUCCAGCAGAGACAUCAUGAAUCCAUCAGCAUUGAUGCGAGACGUUAAUUCUUAAUAAGAUCAUCGUUUUGCUGUUGGGGGUACUGUGACAUAUUUAUGAAUGCACCAGAGCCCAACGUUGAGCUACAUUAUGAACUAUCAGCUGCAUUUACUCCCUUCCGUUUACUCAAGUAACUUCUUGGAUAAAUUGUACUUGUCAAAG